GACGAACCGUGCGAACGUUGUUCGGAAUCACUGGGCUUAAAGGGCGCGUAGGCGGGCUCACAAGUCAGGGGUGAAAUCCCACGGCUCAACCGUGGAAGUGCCUUUGAUACUGUGGGUCUUGAGGGAGGUAGGGGCGUGCGGAACUUCCGGUGGAGCGGUGAAAUGCGUAGAUAUCGGAAGGAACACCGGUGGCGAAAGCGGCGCGCUGGACCUCUACUGACGCUGAGGCGCGAAAGCCAGGGGGAGCAAACGGG
rnacentral:rRNA from 1 species